GCAGUCGUGGCCGAGUGGUUAAGGCGAUGGACUAGAUUUCCAUUGGGGUCUCCCCGCACAGGUUCGAAUCCUGUCGACUGCG
rnacentral:tRNA from 2 species